GUGCUGUUUAAAGGGGUGCUGUUUACUCACUGGAUGUUCUGGUAGACCUCCACAGAGCUGUUUAAAGAGGUGCUGUUUAAAGGGGUGCUGUUUAAAGAGGUGCUGUUUACUCACUGGAUGUUCUGGUAGACCUCCACGGAGCUGUUUAAAGGGGUGCUGUUUAAAGGGGUGCUGUUUACUCACUGGAUG